rfam:Nematostella vectensis strain CH2 x CH6 NEMVEscaffold_159_Cont16274, whole genome shotgun sequence.
AGCUUUGCGCAGUGACAUUACCGUAGCUGAUGAGGUCCAUCCGAGGCGCGGUUAUUGCUUAUUGAAAACUUUUCCCAAUACCCCGCGAGACGACUUGAAACAUAGUCGGCUUUGCAAUUUUUGUGGGCCCUGCUUAGGG